GGGAAGGAGCGGCGGCGGCUCCGCGGUGGGGAUGGGGUGCGCUCUGCCUUCUUCUCCCCCCGCCCCGCUCCGCUCCCCCGCCUGCCGGAUCCUGGGGGAGGCGCCGAGGCGCGGGGCGGGGAGCGGCGCUAGAGCCGGAGCCGCCCGGGCAGGGGCGCGCAGCCAGGAGGGAGGGAAAGUGCAGGAUGGAGAUAGUUCUUUUACCUGCGUCGUCUGCGGAUAAACUGUAAUGAAUGCACAAGUUCUGUUGAGAGGGUGCGAGCUGGGAGGAAGGUCAAGCUGGAUCCAGCUUAAGGUGUGAACAAAGGUGGCCCCUGAGCUGAGGCUUCACAAAGGAAGGUUUGGUCUGGAAUUUGUUUUCAUGGCACAGCAGGAGACCAGUUCCUGUUUGAGGAUUUCCAGGUCGUUUCUAGAGGACUGGAAGGAGCUGUGCCAAGGGAAAGCAGAGCAGAAGGAGCGGGGUCCGCGUCCUCGGUAUCACCAUGACCAAAACUGGGCCAUGUCAUCUUCAGAUGCAGUAGGCUCCUGAGCAAGUGAAGGUCAGCAAGCACAGUAAUGUGUUGAGGAGUCUUCGGAAACAGGCUUUGAAUGAACCAGGCCACCCCGUUCAGAGCCUCAAACAACAACAGAGAGAUGACUGCUUAGGCAGACCAGGUAAAACAACCUGAACGGAAUUGCGUUGUGCAGACCUGGGGGAUUGCAGUACUCGAACGGGGCUGCAAGCAGGCUUCAGCCGUACCGUUGCCCUCCUUGCCUGCUCUCCCCAAGAACCAAACCUUGCGGUAAGGAAAAUGUGCUGCUGUUGUGAGAUUGACGCUGGGACAGUGUUGAAAUGAGGGAGGCGGAUCCCGCUACCUGCUGGUUAUUGAGGUCCAGUAGUCUUUUUAUGUCAGAACUGAACUUGCAGGGAACGUCCUGUAACAGUGAGUAGCAGAGUGGAAGCCCGUUGCUAAUCUGGUGGAGCUGAUAAAGGGCUGGUUUUGGGUUAACCUACCACUAGCUUGCAUUAUGAAGCUUUUUUUGGUGUGAUGAGCAUACCUGCUUCUUAUUUCUUCAUUAAUAGCAGAGAAUACAUUUUAGCCUUUCCUUCAAGGUAGAAGAAUGGCCAUUAAAUCUAUGUCUAGACAACAGCCUUUCACACAACAGCCGUGAAGUGCCGCAAUGUAUUUAACCUUCUCACCUCGAGGCAACGCAAGCCCGACAUUCUCAGCCGAAGGACCCCGCUGCAGUUACUGCUGCUUGAGGAGUGGCCGUAUCUGUGAUGUGCUAACUCCUCUGGACCAAACUUGCUGAGACCAUCAAGUAGAAAGUUUAAUUUUAACACCUUUUGGAUGCCUUCUCACCCAUGGCAAUAGUGAAACUUAAGGUCUGUCAUGCAUAGCAACUCAUUUUCAUCAUGGCAAUUUUUUUUCCCCUUCAUAUCAGGGGAUGCGCAUAAUUUUCUUGUAUUUCUGUCCUUCCCUGUUGCUGUCUGUUGUUUCGUGCCACAGGUGGUGAAAAGUGCCCGUAAAGUUGGACAGACUGAUGUGGCUUCUUUACAGAGGUCGCAAAGGAGCGGAGAGCUUUUUCCUGGAGUGUGCUAAUGGGGUCCCUUUCCGAAAGGCGAUAACGUGGUGGUGGUCUGUAGAGAAAAAUGCUCCAGGGCACUCUGCGUGAAACUGGUUUCUCUGACAUCUUUAAAUGACAAGGAGUUUAUUCCUCAUAUUUCAGAUGCGUUACCUUAUCUAACCGUUCAGUACUGUUAUCUUAUUUAACCGUUUCAGAUGUGUUAUCCUGUUUAACCGGGGGAAUAUUGCUAGCAGAAGUUGGAACAAGCAAUCCCAGGCUCUUCUUGCUGCCACUUGUUGGUUCAGAAUUCUUUCAGGAUCUUCCUUAGCAAGCGGCUGUGGAUAAGGUUAAUAGCUGGAUUAUUGCUGCACUGAAUCAUUCUCAAUUUGAUACAGUUUGCAGCCACCUCUAAUUCACCCUCUUAUUUCCUAGAGGAAGCGUUAACCAGAACAAUCACUUUAAAAGCAGUGGCUAACAAUGGGCAAUAUCAUUUGAUUCUUUUAACAUACUUACGAGCAAGAGAGAAGUAAAUCAGCGUGUAACCAACUAACGCUGCCAUCAGUCCCUUGGUCAAGGGGUCCGGUGUGGGUGCGUGCACGGACCUCUCUGCCUCUGCACGCCCUCGUCAGUCCUGUACCCCCCCGUUCAGCUCAGUUUUUUGGGGAGCAGGACCUGGAUGGUUUCAUCCACGGCAGAAGCUGCAGCACAAAGCUGAUGUCGGGUCCCCCGGAUCGCCCAUCACGUCCCUAGCACGCACUGCCGGGACAUGGCAACCCCAGCCGUGCUACCUACAGGUAGCAGGGUUAUUUCGACCCCUUGACCAAAGUCCCUGCAAAAGCACAGUAAAAAGUACCUCGGGGUCAGGAGGGUGCGUAGGUGGUUUGCCUGGGGUGUUUCUGAAGGGCAUAGCCUGUAUCAGCAGGCACCGGUGGUACAGUGGAAGCGGUUAGUUAUUGCUGGCUGUGCAUCCUGGCUGCCGCUGCGUAUUUCUCUGCCCUAAUUGCAGCGAGUUGUGAUUGCAGUAAUUUCAUAUUUGCAUCCUGCAUCCUAAAAACGGUUUGGUUUUAUGGUGUUUCACUCGUGAUAGCAGAGAACCCCCAGAGCGCCAGCAUUUAAAUGGACUUUAUUCAUUUUUUCAGCGGGUGGUGAAGGCACACCUGCAUCCUCCAUCCCGAUGGUCCAGGCUGGCCGUGUCGCGGUGCCCUGCGUGGGUCCAGCCGCUGGGAAGGGGAUGCUCGAUGAGACCGAGAGCAGGGCCAGGGCUGCUGCCACCCGGCGCUGGGUGACCGAUGAUUUUCCCAGCACCGAGCUGCCCAGGGCUAGGGUGUGCUUUUUUCCUUUUUUUCACCCAAAAUCCCGCCGGUCUGAGGUUUUCCCAAGGGCAGUGCAGCAGCCCCUUCCGCAAGCAGUCACCAAUUUACUGGGGAGCUGGUCCUGAGCUCACAUCCCUGUUUUCAGAACCGUCGUGGUUUGUGCCGUGUUUUAUUCAUGGCACCGAGCAUGGAAAAACAGAAAGGAAGCGUUAGAGUUAUCCAUAAGGGGGAUGCUGACCUGCUUGGCUACACAUACAAUUCCUCCCCAAAUUAACAUUCCAAAUACCAAAAAAAAAUUUAAAGAGACUAUCAUUAUACUACUGAAGGUAGUGACCUUAGAUAUAUUCUUCUCAGUGUUUCCCCACACUUCUUUGUAAAAGGGGAUUGUAAGUGCCUAGAAGCCACGUAGCUUUUGCGUGCUUAUAAAAAAUAUAUUUACGUCCUGUCAGUUAUAGGUUAAGGGUUGUUACUCCAUUGCAUCACGAGGGGCCUGGAGGAACAUAACGUUCAAGUAUUUAGGGAAGUGGCAAGCUGAAAUAGCUCUUCUGCAGUGCUUAAAGUAGCAAUCUGGUGUCACUGCUUGAGCUUUUCUGCCACCAAGCGAGGCCGAGCGCGAAGCAAUGAGUGACUGGCCCGUCUUCUCCCCACGGUCGUCAUCUCCCGUGACUAACGUUGCUUUAAAAUUUCAUUUUCUUCAUUGCGUUUUCUACCGCUUCCUUCAGAUUAUUCUCUGGUUUCAAAGCUUGUUUCGCUGGUUGUGCCCCAAACCGCAGGCGUUUGCUCAGUAAUAGUGCCUUAGUCUAUUGUCGAUGGAAACGAUAACUCGUAUCAAGACUCCUCUUCUUGCUUAAAUCAAGAAUUUAUCAAGAACGAUGAUGUCAGAUGCGUGACUUGGAGUUCAGCCCGCUGCUGCUGCCCGAUGGACAGGGCAGCCGAGGAGGGGGGGACGCGUCCACGACCGCUCUUACCGACCCGGGGAAAGCUCCUGAGUUUAUUCCAGUCCGAGCGCACAUCCUUCCAUAGCUAUCGCUCUCUGAGCUUCGAAAGGAACGGGCACAGAAGAGAUUUGAGAUUCCUGGUUGUACAGAGGGCUCUGCCCGGUGGUUAAUUGUACGCGUGCCUGCGGGAAGCCGUUGCUCGUGUUAGUCAUGCUGCAUAAAACACCUUUUUCCCUUUGAUUGUUUGCUGAGCAAUGGGUUGUUUGAGAAGACAAAAAAACUUUAUGUUCUUGCUCAGAGAUUCAAUGAGCUAGAGUAAAUCUAUGGCUUUUUCACAGUCCUCUGUGUACCUUUUUCCGGAAUAUAUAUUUUAAAUGUUCAGCCACUACAGAAAAUUGUACAGAUAGAAAAAUAAUACUAGGCUUUGCCUCUUGUAUAGUAAUAAAACUUUUACAUUGUCUCCACAAACGUCUACCUGAAUAGACUGUUAAAACACUACUUGUACCUGAAGGCGAUGCAAGAUAAACCUGUUAAAGGGCGUCUCUUACCCAAAACCUUUCCUCCUUUACAUACGCUGUUCCCAUCGCGGUAGAAGUUGUAGGACUGUUGCUAACUGGGGCGUAAGGAACAUUUGGAAAGAGCAGAAGGCACUUGCAGACACCACCAAAGUUUAUAAUAUUUCUAUUCAGUUGGCAGUGUACUUGGUGGUGGCAUUUAUAAAUGUUUUCUGAUGAUACGGAGGAGGGGAAAUACCUUUUUUCU